rnacentral:rRNA from 1 species
UACGUAGGGUGCGAGCGUUAAUCGGAUUUACUGGGCGUAAAGCGUGCGCAGGCGGCCCGUUAAGACAGGUGUGAAAUCCCUGGGCUCAACCUAGGAAUUGCGCUUGUGACUGGCGGGCUCGAGUACGGUAGAGGGGGGUGGAAUUCCUGGUGUAGCAGUGAAAUGCGUAGAGAUCAGGAGGAACACCGAUGGCGAAGGCAGCCCCCUGGGCCUGUACUGACGCUCAUGCACGAAACCGUGGGGAGCAAACAGG